rnacentral:rRNA from 1 species
AACGUAGGAGGCGAGCGUUAUCCGGAUUCACUGGGCGUAAAGCGCGUGCAGGCGGUUUGGUAAGUUGGGCGUGAAAGCUCCCGGCUCAACUGGGAGAGGUCGUCCAAAACUACCAGACUAGAGAGCGAUAGAGGAAAAUGGAAUUCCCGGUGUAGUGGUGAAAUGCGUAGAUAUCGGGAGGAACACCAGUGGCGAAGGCGAUUUUCUGGAUCGUUUCUGACGCUCAGACGCGAAAGCUAGGGUAGCAAACGGG